GAUGAACGCUGGCGGCGUGCUUAACACAUGCAAGUCGAACGGAAAGGCUCCUGCUUGCAGGGGUACUUGAGUGGCGAACGGGUGAGUAACACGUGGGUGAUCUGCCCUGCACUUCGGGAUAAGCCUGGGAAACUGGGUCUAAUACCGGAUAGGACCACAUUUUGGAUGGUGUGGUGGAAAGUUUUUCGGUGUGGGAUGAGCUCGCGGCCUAUCAGCUUGUUGGUGGGGUAAUGGCCUACCAAGGCGUCGACGGGUAGCCGGCCUGAGAGGGUGUACGGCCACAUUGGGACUGAGAUACGGCCCAGACUCCUACGGGAGGCAGCAGUGGGGAAUAUUGCACAAUGGGCGCAAGCCUGAUGCAGCGACGCCGCGUGGGGGAUGACGGCCUUCGGGUUGUAAACUCCUUUCGCUAGGGACGAAGCGCAAGUGGCGGUACCUGGAGAAGAAGCACCGGCUAACUACGUG
rnacentral:rRNA from 1 species